rnacentral:rRNA from 1 species
GCAGGCUCGUCCGCCCAGGGUAAGUCGGGACCUAAGGCAAGGCCGAGAGGCGUAGUCGAUGGAUAACAGGUAGAAAUUCCUGUACUGUGUUUAAUCGUUAUGAGCGAUGGAGGGACGCAGGAGGUGAAACACGCAUCGAGCUGGAUCGAUGUUCAAGCAACAAGUGCGGUUAAGAGUCAAAUGCUUCUAACCAGCAACACGAGUUGUGAUGAGUAGCGAAGUAAUAGUAGCGAAGGUGAUGUAAUCACACUGCCAAGAAAAGCUUCUAGCCAGAGAGGACACACCCGUACCGCAAACCGACACA